rnacentral:rRNA from 1 species
UGCGUAGGUGGCAUGUUAAGUUUGAUGUGAAGGCUCAGGGCUUAACCCUGAAAUGGCAUUGAAUACUAGCGUGCUGGAGGUUUGGAGGGGGGACUGGAAUUCUCGGUGUAGCAGUGAAAUGCGUAGAUAUCGAGAGGAACACCAGUGGCGAAGGCGAGUCCCUGGACAACACCUGACACUGAGGACAAGCCGGGGAGCGAACA